AGAUCAGGAACCGCCGCAGUCCCGCUCGCCUCCCUGCUUGCCUGUCCCCCUUUCUUUAUUUCUCGCGCCCCUCGCCAAGGGUCCUCCAUUUCUCCAAACCGGAUUAUUUAAAAGAGUAAAAGAAAGAAAGAAAGAAAAAAGUCCAUCUCAUUGCUCUAACCGCCAUUCAGGAGGCUGGAUGUCAGUUUUGAAAGAAACGGCGCUAUUCUCCACUUCUAGAUUUGGGAAACGAGCGAAAUUAAAGAAAAUUGCUGCGACAUCUGGACACUGAGUGGCGCUGGCGCCGCUGGAGCAGCGGGCACAGCGCCGGACCAGGUGAGAAAACUGAGGCCUAGAGGAACUCAUAUCUUGGAUACUUUAUGGCCAGCAGGUGCCAGGACUGGAAUCACUAAGAGGGUCUUUGAACUACAAGUCUUGUGCUCUUUCUGUUUUACUAAAGACCAGAGUCAAUAGGGAGUGAGCUAUUGAUGGGUCAUUUGUGCAGACAGAAGAUCACUGAAUAUUGGAGCUUUUCUUUGUUCUCUUCCUUUGGCCUAAAAACUGACUCAGAGAAUGGAGGAAAAUGAUUUUCUGUUUUUUAAAAUGAUUUUCUAUUUUGGAUCAGCAAAUUCAUCCCUCAGGCAGAGACAGGAGAGGGCAUUUUUUUUUUUAACAUUCCUUGUCUGUGCCACCGCACCCAACCUCCAGCCCUGACAUUCCAGGACAUUGGCUUUUUCCUUCAGAUAUCCCUUGAUUAUCAAAAUUCUGUGAGAAAUUUCCUUAAAUAUUGCACAUGCUCAAACUGAAAGCUCCAAAGGUAUAAGACAAAAGACACUGUAAGAUAAAUAAACUAUUAUUUGGACAUAUAUAACAAAACAUCAACCUCUAGAAUAUGUAAAUAAAUACAUAAAUGAGAAAAAAAUACCUUUUGGAAAAAUUAGCAAAUAAUAUGAUGGCUAAGUGAUAUACAAAUAGUCAAAUGGCCAAAAUUAGGAAAAUAUAUUGUUUUACUCAUUAGUAAAGAAAUGUAACAAAAAAUGCUGACAUAUACCUAUAUGUGUGGCAAAAAUAAAAGGAGUGAUAACAUUAGCAAAGUUGUGAGAAAAUAAUCAUUCUUAUAUACUAUUGUAACUUGGGGCAUUCAUUUUGAGAGGCAACUUUGCAGUACUUAUCAAAACUGUAUGUGCGUAUACAUACCCUUUGACUCAGCAAUUCCACUCCUAGAACCUACAUAAUUAUGCAAAUAUAUACACACAUAAAUAUAUGUAUGGAAAUAUAUAUUAUAUAUGCAGUGUGUGCAUAUAUAUAUAUGUAUAGCAAUGAAUAUUACAUAUGUAUGCAUGUAUGCAUUACCCUUCGACUCAGCAAUUCCACUCCUAUAAGUGGAAUUAUGUAAGUAUGAAAACAUGCCCCUGACUCUGUGGGCAGAGCAGAGGUUUGGAAACCAAAUUUCUGAAAUAGAACCUUUCAUGUCUCUGUU
rnacentral:lncRNA from 1 species